GGAUUGUGUGGCCCCUCAGUGGACAAUUCUGUUAGAAUAGGGAUGGAAUGAGAACAUUAUUUUGUAGGAUUAUGCGUCUAUGGUGGUAACACUAUUCUUUGUUCUAGAAUCAACGAUUGAGAGAGGUCUUGACUCACUUGAUGGGGUUCAUCUUGGCGUCUCGGCUUGGUCUUCAAGUUCUGUUCUCGCUCCGGUGAAGUGCUUCACUGUAAAGGGAACAGGAUGCUAUCUCGGGGCGCAGACUGGGAUUUGAGCGUUGUACAGACUUAUUAAAGAAGUGCCUAAACUUGAAAAAGUUAAUGCUAUAGAAUUCUAUAGAGUAGGAUGCCCUUUAGGAUGUCCCCACAGUGUCUGUGUACUAAACUAAAGGAUGUUACUCAGUACCUUCUGCCUCAAUCAUGCUCAGUAACCCCGAAGGCCAUUGCAGUAUUUUAUUUGCACGUCAAUCCAAGAUGUUACAGUAUACAAUGUAGCCUUUACUGAAGAGAAGGGUGAUGCUAUGUUUUACAUAAUGGCCUUAUUGUGUUUUCUUGUUUAACCAAGAAUGUGUCAUCAUUGGGAACCUAUAGCGGGACUGGAUAAAUGAAUAAUCCGUUUGAAGACAUUUUCACCUUUACCAAUUCCGAUUCCAGGCUGUAUCACAACCGGCCAUGAUUGGCCCAGCGUCGUCCGGGCAUUAGUGUUAGGAAUUUUAUGAAUAAUGACUAAACAAUAUCUACAUUUAAAUAGAACUAUAACUAAUUCAACUCUACCCUGUUUUACAAUAUCUGAUGAAUAAUGUUAGUUCCUAAGAAAGAGGUUAUGUAGCAUGGAUAAGAGGUAAUUGGAAAUGAUACACACACAUUCCUUCCUACACAAUGGUUGUCUUAAGUAAGCAAAGAGGGUCAUUAACCUAUGUUUGAACCGACUCAACUAUAACUCUGGCGAUCAAAUAAGACAGCGAGAGCCCCUCCAGGUUUUGUGUAUCUGGAACUGUCUGCUAAAGUGGUAAUAAAUGAUGGUGAGACUUCAGGAGUUAAUCCAGUUAUAUUGUGUGUCAUGUAUGUGAAUUGGAAUUAUCUUUUGAACCUGCUUUGUCCUGAUCGAGAGGAGGAAGGACAUUUUAAAACCUAUGAUGUCAUAUUUGAUAUAUAAACUGUUGUACAGGGUUCUAUGAGCAGCGUGCUCCGAG
ensembl:lncRNA